rnacentral:rRNA from 1 species
CCUACGGGAGGCAGCAGUGGGGAAUUUUCCGCAAUGGGCGAAAGCCUGACGGAGCAACGCCGCGUGAGGGAUGAAGGCCUCUGGGCUGUAAACCUCUUUUAUCAAGGAAGAAGAUCUGACGGUACUUGAUGAAUAAGCCACGGCUAAUUCCGUGCCAGCAGCCGCGGUAAUACGGGAGUGGCAAGCGUUAUCCGGAAUUAUUGGGCGUAAAGCGUCCGCAGGCGGCCCUUCAAGUCUGCUGUUAAAAAGUGGAGCUUAACUCCAUCAUGGCAGUGGAAACUGUUGGGCUUGAGUGUGGUAGGGGCAGAGGGAAUUCCCGGUGUAGCGGUGAAAUGCGUAGAUAUCGGGAAGAACACCAGUGGCGAAGGCGCUCUGCUGGGCCAUCACUGACGCUCAUGGACGAAAGCCAGGGGAGCGAAAGGGAUUAGAUACCCCUGUAGUCCUGGCCGUAAACGAUGAACACUAGGUGUCGGGGGAAUCGACCCCCUCGGUGUCGUAGCCAACGCGUUAAGUGUUCCGCCUGGGGAGUACGCACGCAAGUGUGAAACUCAAGGAAUUGACGGGG